ACCACUGUGCCCAGCCACAUGGGAUCUUAUCACUUUCACACCUGGCACAUCCUCCACUUGAGGACAAUAUAGUACACAGAAUUUUGGAGCUGGGAGCCAGAAUAGGAGCUUGCUCCGUAUACUCCAUGCAUAGACCUGGUAUUGCAGUAGCUACAGGAAUAGUGCCCCUCCG
rfam:Cavia porcellus supercont2_132 genomic scaffold, whole genome shotgun sequence.